rnacentral:rRNA from 1 species
AUGGUGCUGGUUCGCUAUGGAGUCACCUUCCUCAUCGAGCACCCGCUACCACCCAACGCCCCGUCCCAUUACCUUGAGCUAGCCCAUGUUGUCUUGUGGAUCUAUGCCACCCUCUCCGACACCAUGUGCGAUCACGUCGUCGGCGCCACCACCACCUUCGCCCUCUGGCACAAGAUCAAGGACUAUUUCCUUGCCAACCGCGCCGCCCGAUUCAUGAUCCUCAACCGCCAGUACCGCAACCUCAAGCAGGGGGACCUCUCCAUCUCGGAGUAUGCGCGUCGCAUGAAGCAGCUCACCGAUGCCCUUGCCGACAUCGAGCACGGCGUCACAGAGGUGGAUCUCACCACACAGUUCCUGCACGGGCUCGACAAGCGUCUCGAAACAAUUCGGGUCGUCCUUGGCGAUCAGACGCUCCCCUUCGACACCGUUCUCUCCCGGGUCACCCUGGCAGAGGAGUCCCAGGCUCAGCGCGCGGCGGAGGAGAGCGCCUCGGCCUUCGCCAUGCUGGGUGGUGGCUCGUCGAGCGGCCCUUCCGGCGCCGGUGGACGCGCCCCCAAUGAUCGUGCCGAUCGGUCCUCCGGCACCAACUCCGAGCGC